GCAGUCGCCGCGGUAAUACGGAGGGGGCUAGCGUUGUUCGGAAUUACUGGGCGUAAAGCGCACGUAGGCGGCUUGGUAAGUUAGAGGUGAAAGCCUGGAGCUCAACUCCAGAAUUGCCUUUAAGACUGCCGAGCUAGCAGGUGAGAGAGGUAAGUGGAAUUCCGAGUGUAGAGGUGAAAUUCGUAGAUAUUCGGAAGAACACCAGUGGCGAAGGCGGCUUACUGGCUCAUACUGGACGCUGAGGUGCGAAAGCGUGGGGAGCAAACAGGAUUAGAUACCCGUGUAGUCCCUGUCUCUUAUAC
rnacentral:rRNA from 1 species